AACGAACGCUGGCGGCGUGCCUAACACAUGCAAGUCGAGCGAGAAACCUCCCUUCGGGGAGUUAGUAGAGCGGCGAACGGGUGAGUAACACGUGGGUAAUCUGUCCCUGAGUCUGGGAUAACCCGGGGAAACCCGGGCUAAUACCGGAUACGGCCUGAGGCUCUUCGGAGCCUUUGGAGAAAGGUGGCCUCUGCUUGCAAGCUGCCACUCGGGGAGGGGCCCGCGGCCCAUUAGCUUGUUGGUGGGGUAACGGCUCACCAAGGCGAAGAUGGGUAGCUGGUCUGAGAGGAUGACCAGCCACACUGGAACUGAGACACGGUCCAGACUCCUACGGGAGGCAGCAGUGGGGAAUUUUGGGCAAUGGGCGAAAGCCUGACCCAGCGACGCCGCGUGAGGGAUGAAGGCCUUCGGGUCGUAAACCUCUGUCAGGAGGGACGAACACCUUUCGGUGAAUAGCUGGAAGGUCUGACGGUACCUCCAAAGGAAGCGCCGGCUAACUCCGUG
rnacentral:rRNA from 1 species